GACGAACGCUGGCGGCGUGCUUAACACAUGCAAGUCGAACGGAAAGGCCCUGCUUUUGUGGGGUGCUCGAGUGGCGAACGGGGGAGUAACACGUGAGUAACCUGCCCUUGACUUUGGGAUAACUUCAGGAAACUGGGGCUAAUACCGGAUAGGAGCUCCUGCUGCAGGGUGGGGGUUGGAAAGUUUCGGCGGUUGGGGAUGGACGCGCGGCUGAUCAGCUUGUUGGUGGGGGAGUGGCUUACCAAGGCAUUGACGGGUAGCCGGCCUGAGAGGGUGACCGGCCACCUUGGGCCUGCGGUACGGCCCAGACUCCUACGGUAGGCAGCAGUGGGGAAUCUUGCACAAUGGGCGGAAGCCUGAUGCAGCAACGCCGCGUUCGUGAUGACGGCCUUCUGGUUGUAAACCGCUUUCGCCUGUGACGAAGCGUGAGUGACGGUACUGGGUAAAGAAGCACCGGCUAACUACGUG
rnacentral:rRNA from 1 species